GCUGGGUGUGGUGGCUUACACCUGUAAUCUCAGCACUUUGAGAGGCCGAGAUGGGAGGAUUGCUUGAGCCCAGGAGUUCAAGAGCAGCCUGGGCAACAAAACAAGACCCCAUCUCUA
rnacentral:SRP_RNA from 1 species